GUAAGGCUAAAUACUCCCGAGAGACCGAUAGCGAACCAGUACCGUGAGGGAAAGGUGAAAAGCACUUCGAACAGAAGAGUGAAAUAGUUCCUGAAACCGUGCGCCUACAAGCGGUCGGAGCUCGUUAAUGAGUGACGGCGUGCCUUUUGCAUAAUGAACCUACGAGUUGCCUUUGCCGGCAAGGUUAAGUGUGACGACACACGUAUCCGAAGCGAAAGCGAGUCUGAACAGGGCGUAUAGUCGGCAGUGGCAGACGCGAAACCAAGUGAUCUACCCUUGGCCAGGUUGAAGGCUGGGUAACACCAGCUGGAGGACCGCACCAAUAAGCGUUGAAAAGCUUCUGGAUGAGCUGAGGGUAGGGGUGAAAGGCUAAUCAAACUUGGAGAUAGCUCGUACUCCCCGAAAUGCAUUUAGGUGCAGCCUUGACUUAUACUGGCAUGAGGUAGAGCGACUGAUAAGAUGCGAGGGCUUCACCGCCUAUCAAGUCUUGACAAACUCCGAAUGCGUGUCAGUUCUAUGUCAGGAGUGAGGGCAUGGGUGCUAAGGUCCAUGUCCUAAAGGAGAACAAUCCGGACCAACAGCUAAGGUCCCAAAAUGAAUACUAAGUUGAACUAACGAAGUCAGAUUGCUAAGACAGCUAGGAUGUUGGCUUGGAAGCAGCCAUUCAUUUAAAGAGUGCGUAACAGCUCACUAGUCGAGCGAUCUGGCGUGGAUAAUAAUCGGGCAUAAACGAUCUGCCGAAGCCGUGGAUGUCGCAAGACAUGGUAGGGGAGCAUUCCAUGCCGCGUCGAAGAUGAGGGGUGACCCUUGUUGGAGCGCAUGGAAAAGCAAAUGUAGGUAUGAGUAACGAUAAGGGGGGCGAGAAACCCCCCCGCCGAAAGACCAAGGUUUCCUGAUCAACGCUAAUCGGAUCAGGGUGAGUCGGGACCUAAGGCAAAGCCGAACGGCGCCGCCGAUGGAAGAAUGGGUUAAUAUUCCCAUACUGCCUCAUGGAGUGACGUGGAGACGGAGAAGUGACAGUCCUGCCGGCUGACGGAAUAGCCGGUUGAAGGGUGUAGAUAUUGAUUCCCGUAGGCAAAUCCGCGGGGAGAGUCGAACCUGAGAGUAUACGGAGCGCUUGCGCAACGUAAUAUGGACGUAACCAUGCUCCCGAGAAAAUCCGCUAAACUUAUCCAUGCGGCACCCGUACCGUAAACGGACACACGUGGUCGGGUUGAGAAUACUGAGGCGCUCGAGUGAUUCACGGUUAAGGAACUAGGCAAAUUGACCCUGUAACUUCGGGAUAAAGGGUCCUCGUCGUAAGGCGAGGCGCAGAGAAUAGGUCCAGGCAACUGUUUAACAAAAACACAUGGCUGUGCUAAAUGGAAACAUGAUGUAUACAGCCUGACACCUGCCCGGUGCCGGAAGGUUAAGAGGAGAUGUCAUCCGCGAGGAGAAGCGUUGAAUUGAAGCCCCGGUAAACGGCGGCCGUAACUAUAACGGUCCUAAGGUAGCGAAAUUCCUUGUCGGGU
rnacentral:rRNA from 1 species